GACGGAGGGGGCGAGCGUUGUCCGGAAUUACUGGGCGUAAAGGGCGCGUAGGCGGUUGAGAACGGCGAUGGUGAAAGCUCCUGGCUUAACUGGGAGAGGCCCGUCGCGACGGCUCGACUCGAGGCAAGUAGAGGCAGAUGGAAUUCCUGGUGUAGCGGUGAAAUGCGUAGAGAUCAGGAGGAACACCCGUGGCGAAGGCGGUCUGCUGGGCUUGGCCUGACGCUGAGGCGCGAAAGCGAGGGGAGCGAACGGG
rnacentral:rRNA from 1 species